AUGUUUGGGGUUAUCUUUGCAGACUAGACUAGAUUCUGGGUGCUCCCAAUGUUCUAUUUCUUGGAGGAUGUUCAUUUUAUGAUGAAUCACUGAGCUGUUCCUAUGGGGGCACUUUUCUGGACGUGUCUUAUAUUUCCCUCCAAAAAAUGCUUCAAGAAAACUGACAUGGGUCUGAGGAGGCAGCACCUCCCAGGAUUCCCACCAUUUCCUCCCAGCCCCGUCACACAGUUAAAAAUAACCUUCUGUAAAUUCAGGCGCAUGUGUCUUCGUUCAUGAAAUCCUCACCAUCUCUGAGGGUGGACGACACCCAGGCUCCUCCUGCAAAUCCAAAUCAUAGGAGGAGAGCCAGCUCAGGCAAAGACCUUGAGGCCAGCAGACUCCACCAUGCUCUGGAGCAAUGAGGAGAAGCGUGGCCCCAUGAGACGUCUGUGAUGAAGAAAUCUGACCUGGCACCGAGAUGGCUCCAACGAAGGGGGAAGUUUCUAUCCCUUUCGAAAUCUGCCACUUCCCUUCUGCUCUUUCUUCCCUCUAAAAACCCCACUGUGUAGAGAAUCGCAGCCUCAGUUCCCCAGGCAUCCCGAGAGCUGGGCUUCCCUUCAUGUCCUCGGCUUCUGUUAACAUAUGGAUCACUGGCCUCCAUCGUCUGAGUGUUCCCUCUGCUGACUCCUCCUGAGACUGAACUGCCCACCUGGAGGGAGAGGGACGCCCCAUCCUGCCUGUGUGUCCUCCAUCUCAGCUGCUAUGAGAGGGAGCUCUAAGUGCUGGGAGACCUGUUAUCUCCCCUCUGGACAGUGACUCUCAGGGCAGCGUCCAGGGCUGGUGUGUGACCUCGUGAGCAGAGAGGUGAUGCUCUCCCUGUGGAUGCUGAAGGAGGGAGGACAGUCAGCCUCCUUCAUAACUCCUGUCCUUGAGUCUUUCUCCUGACUGGACUGACCUCCACAGACAUCUACAGCCUGUGACUCAGGAGGUCUGGCCAGAAGGGAUCUGUUUUCACUUUGCAGAAAAUGACCACCAGAGGGGAAGGACAUUGACAAGGAGGCAGGAGAUGGGGCUCAGGCCCUGCAUGGGGUGUGAAUUUAGAUUUCUGUUGGAGUCUUCUCUAAAUGUUGCAACUUUCAGUUCCUGAGAGAGAAGUGGACUUUCCCAGGGAACCUGGCACCGCCAACUCGAGACAUGCUGCUGCUGCUGCUGGCCCUGCUCUUGUGGAUGGAGGGGGCCAAGGGCCAGAGGGAACCCUGCGAGGAUCACUCACUGCAGGUGCAGGGGUUGGUGACUGUGCGGGAGGGCCUGUCCCUGCACAUGCCCUGCUCCUUCUCCCACCCCCAGGUUGGCUGGAAUGACUCGACCCCAGCUCAUGGCUAGGGUUCCAGGAAGGGGCCAAAAUAUACCAGGAUGCUCCUGUGGCCACGUACAAGCCAGAUCGUGAAGUGCAGAAGGAGACCCAGGUCUGAUUCUACCUCCUUGGGGACCCCCCCCACCCUACAAUUGCUCCCUCAUGAUCAGGGAUGCCAGGAAGAGGGACAAUGAAACAUACUUUUUUCAGGUGGAGAGAGGGUAUUAUGUGAGAAAUUCUUACAGAAAAAACCAGCUUUCAUACACGUGGAGGGUAAGGGGCUGUCUGCAGGAACUGACACAGGGAAAAGAUAGGGGGGUCCCGAGCCAGAGCGGGGAUGGGACUCUCCAUCCUGGGAGGGCUGGGGGUACAGCAAGUCGGCACCCUGAGGGAGGAGCUAGGCAAAGCCUGAGGCUUCUCUCAGGGCUGCUUUUCAGACUCUAACUCCUAAGCCCUGUCUCCCUCUCUCUUCCUCAGCUCUGACGCAGACACCUGACACCCUGAUCCCAGGGACCCUGGAGUCUGGCCAGUCCAGGAACCUGACCUGCUCUGUGCCCUGGGAACUGGACAGUCGACAAAUAAACACAAAGUUCUUCUUGUCCCCAAAUCCUUUCCUCCUCGGCAGACCGUAUGUUUUCACCCCUGUAGGUUAUAUGGCUGCUUUCGUAGCCUGACUCUUGAAUCCCAUUUUAAGAGAUCAGAUCCCUCUCAGAGUUGGGUGAUUUAUGAGCUCAGAACCGGGCCCCGGUUCAGCACCACAGACAGCACCAGCCCCUUGCCUGGAGCAGCGGGGUUUCUGUUCCUUGGUCCUCACUCUGAUCGGGGCCCUCAGGAGGGCUGGCUUCCUCCUCAACUAUGGCCUCACCUGGAUCUACCACACCAGGUGAGCAGGCCUGUCCCUCUCCUGGGAAGUCCAGUGAUUGGCCCCUGAGUUCCAGGUGGGGCUGAGCUGUCUUGCCCUGCCUGGAGUCAGAGUUAAUGUGGCUGAUGUGCUCAUCUGAGAGCCCUGGUGGCUCUGCAGGUGUCGAGGUUCCCUGGGAGCAGAGCUGAGAAGGCUGACUGAGGAUCCCUCCUUCUCAAGACGGGACUGAGGUGUUGACAUGGAGCCCAGAGGGAUAGAUGUGGCGACAUCGCUGUGAGCUUCUCUCUGGAAACGCCCAGCCCUCACUGCCUACUACUGCUCCUUCAUUUUCCACCUGACUCCUCUCCCAAAAUACGCAAAUCCCCUCCCAUCCCUGUUCCCUCUGGUCCCUAUUUUAGCAGUUUGAGGGAGAGGUGAGCCUUCAGGUCCUUGGCUUCCCACCACUCAAGAGUUAACUUGUUAACACUAUACAGUUUUUAACUUAAAACUUGGUUACUAUUUUUUAACGUAUUCGUCACCUUUCCCUCAAAAAUUGCACUUUUAAUGGUACGCAUUCCACAAGCGUUUAUUUAUCAUCCACUGUGGGCAAAGUGAAGCCCAACAUUUUCAGGGGCUACAAACAUGAAGCAGGGUUAUGCUGUGUGUGUGACAGCAAUCCUCAUCAACAACAGUACCGGAUGAGAAGUGGCCCCAGACUUCCGUCUUGCUCACCUGGCUCCUCUCCAGCUAGCCCUUCAACCUGCUCCCUUCAGAGCAGCCAGAGGGGGCACCUGAAAACACAAAUCUUAUGAUUUUACUUCCUGGCUUUCCAGCUUUGAACUCUUCUGUGGCAUCUAUUUCUCAUGGAAAUAUGAGAAAGUAAGAAAUACAACCCAAGAGACCUUG